rnacentral:rRNA from 1 species
GUAGGGUGCAAGCGUUGUUCGGAAUUAUAGGGCGUAAAGCGCGUGUAGGCGGUUUGUUAAGUCUGAUGUGAAAGCCCGGAGCCUAACUCCGGAAGUGCAUUGGAUACUGGCAGACUAGAGGACGAGAGAGGGAAGCGGAAUUCCUGGUGUAGGGGUGAAAUCCGUAGAUAUCAGGAGGAAUGUCGGAGGCGAAGGCGGCUUCCUGGCUCGUAACUGACGCUGAGACGCGAAAGCGUGGGUAGCAAACAGGAUUAGAUACCCUGGUAGUCCACGCCCUAAGCGAUGGACACUAGUCGUCGGAAUACCCUAAUUGUUUCGGUGGCGAAGCUAACGCAUUAAGUGUCCCCGCCUGGGGAUUACGGUCGCAAGAUUA